UACAGAGGUCCCAAGCGUUGUUCGGAUUCAUUGGGCGUAAAGGGUGCGUAGGCGGCGCGGUAAGUCGGGUGUGAAAUCUCGGAGCUUAACUCCGAAACUGCAUUCGAUACUGCCGUGCUUGAGGACUGGAGAGGAGACUGGAAUUUACGGUGUAAGCGGUGAAAUGCGUAGAUAUCGUAAGGAAGACCAGUGGCGAAGGCGGGUCUCUGGACGACUCCUGACACUGAGGCACGGAAAGCUGGGGGAGCAAACAGG
rnacentral:rRNA from 1 species